UACGUAGGGUGCGAGCGUUAAUCGGAAUUACUGGGCGUAAAGCGUGCGCAGGCGGUUUUGUAAGUCUGUCGUGAAAUCCCCGGGCUCAACCUGGGAAUUGCGAUGAAGACUGCAAGGCUUGAAUCUGGCAGAGGGGGGUAGAACUUCCACGUGUAGCAGUGAAAUGCGUAGAGAUGUGGAGGAACACCGAUGGCGAAGGCAGCCCCCUGGGUCAAGAUUGACGCUCAUGCACGAAAGCGUGGGGAGCAAACAGG
rnacentral:rRNA from 1 species